ACAGAGGGUGCGAGCGUUGUUCGGAAUUACUGGGCGUAAAGCGCGCGCAGGCGGCCUUUUAAGUCUGGCGGUGAAAUGCCGGGGCUCAACCCCGAGUCGGCCGUGCGAACUGCUGGGCUCGAGCACUGUAGAGGCAGGCGGAAUUCCGGGUGUAGCGGUGGAAUGCGUAGAGAUCCGGAAGAACACCGGUGGCGAAGGCGGCCUGCUGGGCAGUAGCUGACACUGAGGCGCGACAGCGUGGGGAGCAAACAGGA
rnacentral:rRNA from 1 species